rnacentral:tRNA from 3 species
GCUGGAAUAGCUCAGCUGGUAGAGCAACGGUCUUGUAAACCGUAGGUCCUCAGUUCAAAUCUGAGUUUCAGCUCCA